AAACUAUUCUAGUAAAAAUCCAGACUAUGUGAUGGAGGAUAUAACUCAGGAAGAAGGCCAUCAUUAUCUGGACGUCGCCAAAGGAACAGGUGAAGGUGUUCAUCAAGAGGAUCAAGAGCAAACCUCAAGAUCCCAGUAUGAUGAACUUGACAAUUACAGACAAGAAAAUGUUUAUGCUAAAGUAGUGGAUGAUAACGCAGAGCAUUAUACGAAUACAGCAUAGUUUAAUUGUAUCUAUGCAUCAAAAAACACAACGUGCACUAUGGACGGCCUCUUACAACAAAAAAUAUCAGUGGCGUUGAUAUUUAAA